UAGCUCAGUGGUUUGAGCAUUGGCCUGCUAAACCCAGGGUUGUGAGUUCAAUCC
rnacentral:misc_RNA from 1 species